GUGACCAUGAAAUUGCGCCUAAUGGAAUAAUGACUAUUAUUGCGCUUAUGUGUACAUUUUCAAAUAUGAAAAAUAAAUACUAUAAUGAAACGUUUGGAUUUUUUCAGUGCUCUAAUGACGAAGGAGAAAGAAGUGCGAUUGGCAUUAGAUCCAUACAACAUAAUGGAAAUAGCCACAGUCUCUCCAAUAGUUUCGACAGCUGAAUCGAUACCAAAACCUCAGAGACCAAUCCUCACCGGGCUGGAGAUCAUGACUAUCAUCUUAGGAUGCAUAGUUUUUGUCGGAGCACUCACAGCCGCAGUUUGCGUUGGAUGCAUCCACCGAAAAGAUAAGAAUGUGAAAUCUAGUACGUUUGCAUCUAACUCAAUGGCUGAAAUAGCAUUUGGGCUCAGCCCGAAACAGGGUCACAUCAUGAACUGCAAACCACGUUCCAUGUUCCAUCCGCAUCCCUCCUCUUUCAUGGAAGAUUCCACGGACAGCUACACCGAAAUGGCAUCCGAGUGUCACAGGCAUCGCCAUAGACAGCAUCAUCGGCACGAGCCGACCUGCGCGCGGCACCAAUCGCGACGCCGCAAGAGCUCGCUCACCCGCUCGCCAAGCACGGCCAUGCUCGAAGCCUCCUUGGCCUCCCUCCACUCCAGCGGAAGGGAUUCCGGCCUCGGCAAAAACAUGGGCCGCUGUCCUUGCGGCCACUCUGCCACCCACUCCUCGGCCAACAGCAGCAACGGGAGUUAUGAAGACUCGCUGAAGUCCUUGAAUCGACAGCACAGUCACAGCAGUGGAAGCGGAGGGGGUUGUUCCCAUGAUCGAUCCCACGACCGAUCCUUGAUGAGGAGACAACACCAGUACAACACACCCUCCCUCACCCGGAGACCCAGCGAGAGAAUCUUAGUCUGCCCAAUUAACAAUUAGUCUUCUUAAUUUCCAGGACAGUUCGUCGUCUCCUCCACUAGGGACGUAACUCAAUUCUAAUGUUGCCAAAUUGACUGACACAAUGAAUUUAUUUUACAAAGUUGUACCUGAGCAAUUUUUAUCCAAAAAUUUUCUGAUUUUUGCAUAAAAUAUGAGGAAAAAUCAGUGACAUUUUCGGUUAGGAAUGCCCAAGAUUCUUCUAGCGAUUGUGCGAUUUGUGAGGGGAAAUUGGGCAACAUUGAAUUAGAGUUAUGUUCUUUUGUGUGGGAAUGACGAAUUAUCACAUACUCUAUAGGCUCAGAUUGGUAUGUCAUAAAAUUUACGCUUUUUUAAAUAUCACAAGUAACACGGCAGUCACGUCGAUCAAACUCAAAAUUUGCCGCUGAGCCCGGAAAAUUUUGAGAUUUGAGAACUGAAAAGAACCUGAUCCAGCGUGAAUGAUCGAUUUUCGAUAUUUCCCCACUUAAAGUUAUGGUAAAGAAGGCUUUAUCAAGGUGUUCGUUGCAAACUCCCUAUUUAUCGAUCCUUUUCCAUAGGUUUAAAUCACAGAUCUAUCGAUAGGUCGCAAAGCACGCCACGCCGCACUGAUCUGAUUGUCACCAACGUUCGUAGCGGGGUAAUAUUUAUCCAUUUUACAUGGGAUAAAACUACCGGGAGUUUAAAGGCACUAUUUCUUGAUACACAUCAGAACAAGUUACUGGAACUUUGAGGGAGCAUUUACGACUUGGUGCGAUAUUCUCGCAAUGUCCCAUGUAACAAGUUACGUUAAAAUCCUGCAACAACAUUUCUAGGGAUCAAAAGUUUAAGAGUAAGUUUACCUACUUUUUUCAGAAAAUAUGUGCCACAAAUCAUAUUCAGUAUUUAGUAAUUAGUUCUCGCGAAGAGUGGAAAAAUAAGUAAAAAAUAAAGACACACUAUAGUACAGUCGCACAUACAGUCAGCACAGUGUAUACUCACAGUCGUAACUGCAGAUGAGUUUUGGAUCGAAUGCUCAAGUUUUUUUGGAUGUGACUGCCGUUUUUUAAAAAUAUUUAAUAUGAGUUGAAUAUGUAAAUUCCUCAUUGAAGCCAAAUCAAAGAGCUAUGAACGUUGAACAAAUGUCACAGACAAGUAUGAUUAAGUUGGUGCGAUGCAAAUAGUAAAUCGUGAUAGCCGGUGGAUAUCAAAGUGUACAGCUUGCAGGUAAUUAAGUCUUCUCAGAAAAGUGUUAGUUAUGUGCCAACAAGUUUCAUAUAAAGUUGAUAAAAGAAUUAGCUUAACAAUUUCUGUCUGAGACGUUUAAUGAAAGUACCCUCGCAUUUGGUCAUUGAGGGGUCGUAGCUCAUACUUUUGUUGUACUCAUUCAUGAAUUAGGAUAAGUAUUCCCCAAUAGCUUGUGAUAUUCUGCUCACAGCUGUAGGAGUCUCGUUAAUAAGCCUAUCCUGAACGUAUGUUCUAUCCUUUCGUAAAAGCAUAUCAAUUCAUAUUUUUUCACUCAUGAUAUUAGGUCAUUAUGAGUUGAAGCUUUCCAGUGUAUUAUUUCAAAUGCAAGAGAUCCCAAUUUAUCAAUUAAAUAUAAUUAAUAUAUAUCAAUAAUAAUGUAAUAUAUUACAUGAAGAAUAAUAUGAUAUAUCAUAUUAAUAUAAUGUUUAUAUGUAUGUAUGUUUAUAUGUUCGUCCACGGGAAAAGGGAUACCUUAACCAUGGGAGUGGGAUAACUGAUAAUCCCGAUUGAACAUUUUGGACAACUGAAGACCCUAAAACUGAAAUGCAAACUGCAUAUAAACCCUCGCCAAAGUCUUUUACUUAUCUCUUGUAAAUUUAUGAUAAAUUUUGUGCCGGAAGAGGCUGUGAAUUCGUUAAAUUCAAGUAGUCCCAUAUCUUGAAUAUAGCGAAUUACAAUCUCUAUUUUUUUUAUCUAGAAACCACAUUUUUUGAACAGCUGACUAGAAGUUGCCAUAACUCCCGUUUGGUUUUGGGAGUUUUGUUUUGUAGCAAAAUGUUUGAGAAGUACUCCUUCGCACUCUCAUGUGCAUGAUUCGUUUGAGUUUUGAGGACUAUAGUACCUUUGCCUACGGACACAUGCUAAUAUUAUGUUGAAGAGUCUUCAAACACUAUCGUUUGCCGAAGUCGUGAGGUAGAAAAGUUAGGUUGAUGUUUUCUUUUACUUUUAACGUUCAGUUUAGGCUUAUUGACCAGUUAGGAUAGAUACUACAUAUAUGUUUAAGUCUAAAUGAAAAUACCCAUCGAGAAGACUGUUACAGUAGGGAACUCGUUUGAGUUUUUAUAGUAAUACCUGUUUCACAUUGUUUUUCAGUUUGUCAUACUGAUGAAAAAGAAAAUUUAUUGCACUCUUAGAAUACCUAUGUGCAUUAGUAUAGGUGAAUCUAACGUUAGAAUCAAUUUAAAAAAAAAAAACGGAAAAAAAAUCCGUCACUAUUAUUGGGUUCUUCGUUUAAUGAAGAAGGUACAUAUUUUAAACUCUUCUCGUCUCCCUUCGUCUUAUUUUCGUUUGCCUUUUCCUUUUUAAAGUCUCAGUUUUUCGAACUGGAGCUUUCAAUACCUUUCCAUGACUACAGUAAGAUUUGCUCCAUUCAUUCGACCGUGAGUGGUAAUGAGAAAUGUUUAUACAGAAUUGAGAGAAAUGGGAGACGAAUAGAACAAUGAAAUCGUGGAUGGUUAUGUUACUACCCAAUUGUUUACUUUAAAGAGGUGCUUAUUUGUAUUUAUUCUAUAAAGGUAUGAUUCGUUUAAUUUAACCUAGCAAAAUAAUCAAAUCGGUUUAUCUUGAAAGCCAAAGAAAUUCAGAUUGAUGAGUCACGACGCUUGGUGUUUCAUCAUCAGUUGGUGGAAUCAUUCAUGGUUUUCAAUCUGUCAUGACGGUGGAUUAUGUCAGAUUUGAGGUUGUAAAUAUAUGAGAAGUAUGUGCUUUUGAAUGCCUUGUGUAAAGAUUUGUAUAGUUCAUGUUAUCACUAACAAACUGAAUAGGGAACUACAUUUUAAAGAGUGUUAAACGAUGUAUUCAUGUGUUUAAAUACUCGUUUUUCAUUAAUGUAAUUUUUUAACUACUUUUCUUUAAUUUAUUGACUUUUUUGUCAGUAGACACAUAUGAAGGAGUGUACUUGGAUUAUAAGAGUUUAGUUUGAAUGCGAUGCAUGAAUGUGUAAUAGAAAUUAGUCGAUUGUCCCUCUCUUAGAAUGACGUCAUAUCAUUAAUUAUGUAAGCGAUGCUCCAUUAACGCGUUAAUAAUAAACAUCGUUGAGCCAAAAAUAUAUACAUAGAAUGUGCUAAAUAGAGGCAAUGGUGAGAAAUUGCAUCAGCCUUGUUAGGUUGUCUCAUCAUUCAAAAUGCAACAAUUUUACAUGAGGUUAACGAUGCGCUAUCCUUAUAAUAGUAAUAAUUUGAAGUUGUUUCAGCAGUGUCAUACGUAGGUAUUUUUAAGUGUUUGUAAAAGUGUUGGCAAUAAUUUUAUUGUUAUUUGUUGUGCCACUCUCUUAUGAAAGUUUUAUUUUAUUUAUUCAUUUUUUAAACAAAAUUUUCAACUAAAAAUUAUUUAUUUCUGUUUAUUUUUAGUCGUAAUGUUAGUACCUAAUUUUGAAAGACGCAUAGUUACUCAUGUAUAAUUUAAUUUGCUCAGUCCAAGAAUUACGUUAGAGUACUACACUACUCCUGAAAACAUUUGAUUAAGCAUCUAUUUGAAACGUAAGUGUAAAUAUAAAAUUUCAAUAUUUUUAUCUGAGUCUUUUUUCACUGCUUUCUCCUCUCUCUGUCUUCGUCACUUAUACCUAACUGUUACAAGAUAUGAUAG
rnacentral:lncRNA from 1 species